rnacentral:snRNA from 1 species
UGCAGGAAGUCACAGUCA